rnacentral:ribozyme from 1 species
AAGAAGAGAAGAAAAGAAGAACAAAAAGAGGUAGCCAUUCUAGACCCCUCCCUUACAUUCUAACUCUCCUUUUUUUUUUUUUUUUUUUUUUUUUC